rnacentral:lncRNA from 1 species
GGAUCCAGCGGGGCUGGAAUCCAUCCCAAGGGAUCUGGAUCAGCCCGAGGGAUCGUCCCGAGGGGAUCCAGGGGGGCUGGAAUCCAUCCCAAGGGAUCGGGAUCGUCCCAAGGGAUCGGCCCGAGGGGAUCCCAAGGGAUCAGGAUCGUCCUGAGGGGAUCCAGAGGGGCUGGAAUCCAUCCCAAGGGAUCGGGAUGGGGCUGGAGCUGAUCCCGGUGGGAUUGGGAUCAUCCCAAGGGGAUCCAGCGGGGCUGGAAUCCAUCCCAAGGGACCGGGAUCAGCCCGAGGGAUCGGCCCGAGGGGAUCCAGAGGGGCUGGAAUCCAUCCCAAGGGAUUGGGAUCAUCCCGAGGGAUCGGCCCAAGGGGAUCCCAAGGGAUUGGGAUCGUCCCGAGGGGAUCCAGCGGGGCUGGAAUCCAUCCCAAGGGAUCGGGAUCAUCCCAAGGGAUCGGCCCGAGGGGAUCCAGGGGGGCUGGAAUCCAUCCCAAGGGAUCGGGAUCAGCCCGAGGGAUCAGCCCGAGGGGAUCCCAAGGGAUCGGGAUCGUCCCAAGGGGAUCCAGAGGGGCUGGAAUUCAUCCCAAGAGAUCGGGAUCAUCCCAAGGGGAUCCAGAGGGGCUGGAAUCCAUCCCAAGGGAUCGGGAUCAUCCCGAGGGAAUUGGGAGCGGCCCGAGGGGAUCUGGAAGGGCUGGAAUCGAUCCCGACGGGAUCAGGAUCAUUCCCGGGGAAUCUGGAUCCCAGCCCAUGGGGACCAUGGAGAUCCAGAGGGGCUGGAAUGGAUCCCAAGGGAUCGGGAUCGUCCCGAGGGGAUCCAGAGGGGCUGGAAUCCAUCCCAAGGGAUCAGGAACGUCUUGAGGGGAUCCAGAGGGGCCGGAAUCCAUCCCAAGGGAUCGGGAUUGUCCCGAGGGGAUCCAGGGGGGCUGGAGCUGAUCCCGGUGGGAUUGGGAUCAUCCCAAGGGGAUCCAGAGGGGCUGGAAUCCAUCCCAAGGGACCGGGAUCAUCCCAAGGGAUCGGCCCGAGGGGAUCCCGGCGGGAUUUGGAUCAUCCCAGGGAAUCUGGCAGGGCUGGAGCCGAUCCCAAGGGAUUUGGGAUAAUCCCGAGGGAAUCCAGAGGGGCUGGAGCUGAUCCCAAGGGGUUUGGAUUGUCCCGAGGGAAUCCAGAGGGGCUGGAAU